CUGGUUGAUCCUGCCAGUAGUCAUAUGCUUGUCUCAAAGAUUAAGCCAUGCAUGUCUAAGUAUAAGCACUCGUACUGUGAAACUGCGAAUGGCUCAUUAAAUCGCAAUAAUUCGCUACAUUAAACAACCGAACCCUCUGCUAUAGCAAAAACCCGAACUUUUCUUGUUUAAAGCAAAAGGCUGUAAGGGUAUAUAUCGGUACUUAACUGCGACAUAUGAGCUAAAACAUAUUGGCUGAAGUGCUCGCUUAUCACUAAAAGCAACAAUUUUUAAUGUCACAGAGGCGUUUUAUGGCAAAGCAUGUCAAUCAGCCACCAGUUGCUGUUGUAUAUAUU
rnacentral:rRNA from 1 species